rnacentral:rRNA from 1 species
AUGCUCAGACAUUACCAACCGUGGUCAUCUCUGAAUCCUGCUAUAAUCAAAUCUAGUAAGCCUUCCGUGUGUACUACUACCUCUGUGUGCAAACCAAACAUGGCGUCCAAUGAGAAUGCAUGUACUACUGGAACGCACAAUCUAACCAUGACGAAGGCGGGAGCAGAAACGACAAGCCCGAGCGGUUGUGUACCGUCCGCACGAACCAUUCGAAUCGAGCAUCGUUGGGGACAGUACAACAAAAGUCGUAGCGGCAGCAACAGUUAUGGACUGGCUCGCAGUUACGCGACUGCAGGACAGCAGGACUAG